GCACUGUCAUGGAUGCUAGAGAGGCCAUCGAGGAGGGAGUGAACCACAUGUGGACCGUGUCUGCCUUCCAGCAGCAUCCCCGCACCGUGUUUGUGUGUGACGAGGAUGCCACCUUGGAGCUGAAAGUGAAGACUGUCAAGUAUUUCAAAGGUUUAAUGCUUGUUCAUAACAAGUUGGUGGACCCCUUGUACAGUAUCAAAGAGAAAGAAACUGAGAAAAGCCAAUCUUCGAAGAAACCAUACAGCGAUUAGCCUGUGCUGGGACCUAGUGUCAAGUACCCAUAGGGAAAGGCAGGUCUUUCUGGAAAUUGUCUUUAGAAGAAAGAAUUGUAUUUCUUUAAUCUAGUAUGGUUACUCCAGAUAAGUGGGUGAACUUAUUGUUCUUGGCCAUGAGGCUGGGAGCCUAGUCACGGAGUUUAGCUAUAGGGAGAAUGUUUGUAACUUAAUCAGAAAAAAAAUAUCUGCAAAAUGU
rnacentral:lncRNA from 1 species